rnacentral:lncRNA from 1 species
AAGAUCCUUUCUUGAUUAUACUAAACAAUAAUUUCUUAUUAUUGAAGUUGCAUGAGUACUUGAUAAAGUAAAAAUAUUGAAAUUUAAUAAAAAAACUGCAAUCUUUACCACUUGAGCUUAGUUCUUGUAUAUGAAAAUACAAUUAUGCUCGAUGAUUUAGGUCCCGAUGGGAUAUUCCAUGGGACACCAAGAUGGAGUACCAUCUCAUCUGUCG